ACUGCUCAUAUUACAGGGCAGCUAGAAGGUGGGGAGCGACUGAGAUCCACUUCCAUAAACAGCAGACAAGUAAAUAAUAUGAUGCAGAGGCUGCGGUGAGAUGGCCUGGGGACUUUGUGGGUGUGGAUCCCGUGAGGCGAGCAGAGCUGGUCAGAAUCGAGGGCUCUGCAGGGUGCCAGCCUCUCCCAGCUGAUGCAGGACACAGACGAUUUCUGCUGUGAUUUGGGAGCAUGUCUGUCUUGGGCAGAUUUCAUACGGAGAUCAAAACAAGGACUGAACAAGAUGCUUCAGACAGCACUGCUGAGGAAAAAGAAGAACAAAUGCUGUCCAAGACAGGAAAAGAAAAAGGAGAAAAAUAUAUUUCCUAUCAUCUUGUAACUGUUGACUAAAAGAGCUUACAUUUAAGGCCUGGCUUGUCAAGAAAUAUAGCAACAUCUGGUUUUGCAAAGCAUGCUGCAAGCCUUUGAAUAUAGACAAAGCAUAAAACUCCUACCCAUAUGACAAUCGGACUCCAUGUACAAAAUAACAAGGUUUUUUCAGACCAUAUGAGGUGUAUUACCAGUUACUUUACUGCCAAGAACUAUGAAGAAAGAUGCAGCAAAGAAUUUGCCACUGAAGAUGAUCGUUUGUCUAACUUUAUUCCUUGAAUCUUUUACUGGAACCUCCUUAAGCUCUGAUUUAGCAAGGCAGUGACUUCUCUUGAGACUUUGUCUGCUGCUGUUAUCCUCCCCAGCUGUCCACUCUGUCUCUACUGCAAGGCUGGGUAAAAUCAGUGAAGGUGAUUUUAGAGAGCCAUGAUGAUGCCUGUGGCCUUUGCAUACUUCUUUCAUGAAUAAUUGGGCUGUCCAUGUGCUGAGUGGGGAGGGAAGGUGGAAAUCUCUAAGCCUUUUCAGCUAUCGUAAGAGAUAAGAUCAUUGAAAUAAUCAAGGAUAAAUGCUGUCUGUGUACUGUUUUAAAGAUGUUGUGCCUAUUAAAUUUUCUCCUGAUCUUUUCUAAUUAUCUUUAAAUUUUAAUUUGGUAUUUCUAGGUAUGUUCUGAGGCAGAGGAACACAAGAAUUCUGUGGUGGAAAUAAAACCUGGAAGGAGGACACACCAAAUCAGCUCUGUUCCUGGAUGAUUGGGGGUAGCUUGUACUUCUGCCAAGGUACAAAGGAUACACUAAGUUUAAAGGUUUGCCAGCUAGGGCUCAGAAGAACUUUCUCAAGGGAAAAGAAAAAGUCUCCUGAAAAAAAACCUUCAGACAAUUCUCCUUUUCCCCCCUUCAUCUAAAGAAAAGUAGCUGAGGUGCGGUAAUAGCACAGUCUGACACAGCUGAGAGCGAGCCUGUGCACAGUAAUCAGAGGGAAAACACAGGGACCAGGAUUGUCUUUUAAUUUGCCCAUUGCCUGAGGAUGAAGGGAAGCUACUGUCAGUCACAAAGUGCAAAGGAAGAUAUUCUAGUGUGCUCGGGACUGCAAAAGGGGCUCUGUUAUCCCUCCAGUGAUCUAUGAGUAAUUUCUGACAUAAAACCUCCAAGUCACUUGCCAAGCCUAUUUGAGAGAGAACGGUAACAAACAUUUCUUCUAGGAGUUCUGG